GACGAACGCUGGCGGCGUGCUUAACACAUGCAAGUCGAACGGACAGGCCCUGCUUUUGUGGGGUGCUCGAGUGGCGAACGGGUGAGUAACACGUGAGUAACCUGCCCUUGACUUUGGGAUAACUUCAGGAAACUGGGGCUAAUACCGGAUAGGAGCUCUUGCUGCAUGGUGGGGGUUGGAAAGUUUCGGCGGUUGGGGAUGGACUCGCGGCUUAUCCGCUUGUUGGUGGGGUAGUGGCUUACCAAGGCUUUGACGGGUAGCCGGCCUGAGAGGGUGACCGGCCACAUUGGGACUGAGAUACGGCCCAGACUCCUACGGGAGGCAGCAGUGGGGAAUAUUGCACAAUGGGCGGAAGCCUGAUGCAGCAACGCCGCGUGCGGGAUGACGGCCUUCGGGUUGUAAACCGCUUUCGCCUGUGACGAAGCGUGAGUGACGGUAAUGGGUAAAGAAGCACCGGCUAACUACGUG
rnacentral:rRNA from 1 species